GCGCGAAAGCACUUCGGUGUGAGUAGAGCGGCGGACGGGUGAGUAACGCGUAAGAAUCUACCUAGUAGUGGGGGACAACUCGAGGAAACUCGAGCUAAUACCGCAUACGCCCUACGGGGGAAAGCGGGGGACCUUCGGGCCUCGCGCUAUUAGAUGAGCUUGCGUUGGAUUAGCUUGUUGGUGAGGUAAUGGCUCACCAAGGCUACGAUCCAUAGCUGGUCUGAGAGGAUGAUCAGCCACACCGGGACUGAGACACGGCCCGGACUCCUACGGGAGGCAGCAGUGGGGAAUAUUGCGCAAUGGGCGAAAGCCUGACGCAGCCAUGCCGCGUGUGUGAAGAAGGCCUUAGGGUUGUAAAGCACUUUCAAUUGGGAGGAAAAGUUAACGACUAAUACUCGUUAGCCUUGACGUUACCUUAGAAGAAGCAC
rnacentral:rRNA from 1 species